GAUGAACGCUGGCGGCGUGCCUAAUACAUGCAAGUCGAACGCUUCACUUCGGUGAAGAGUGGCGAACGGGUGAGUAAUACAUAAGUAACCUGGCAUCUACAGGGGGAUAACUGAUGGAAACGUCAGCUAAGACCGCAUAGGUGUAGAGAUCGCAUGAACUCUAUAUGAAAAGUGCUACGGGACUGGUAGAUGAUGGACUUAUGGCGCAUUAGCUUGUUGGUAGGGUAACGGCCUACCAAGGCGACGAUGCGUAGCCGACCUGAGAGGGUGACCGGCCACACUGGGACUGAGACACGGCCCAGACUCCUACGGGAGGCAGCAGUAGGGAAUUUUCGGCAAUGGGGGAAACCCUGACCGAGCAACGCCGCGUGAAGGAAGAAGUAAUUCGUUAUGUAAACUUCUGUCAUAGAGGAAGAACGGUGGAUAUAGGGAAUGAUAUCCAAGUGACGGUACUCU
rnacentral:rRNA from 1 species